rnacentral:rRNA from 1 species
GACGGAGGAUGCAAGCGUUAUCCGGAAUGAUUGGGCGUAAAGCGUCCGCAGGUGGCAGUUCAAGUCUGCUGUCAAAGACCGGGGCUUAACUUCGGAAAGGCAGUGGAAACUGAACAGCUAGAGUAUGGUAGGGGCAGAGGGAAUUCCUGGUGUAGCGGUGAAAUGCGUAGAUAUCAGGAAGAACACCGGUGGCGAAAGCGCUCUGCUAGGCCGCAACUGACACUGAGGGACGAAAGCUAGGGGAGCGAAUGGG